AGACUCUACGGGAGGCAGCAGUGAGGAAUAUUGGUCAAUGGAGGCAACUCUGAACCAGCCAUGCCGCGUGCAGGAUGACGGUCCUAUGGAUUGUAAACUGCUUUUAUACAGGAAGAAACCCUAUCACGAGUGGUAGAUUGACGGUACUGUAAGAAUAAGGAU
rnacentral:rRNA from 1 species